AGUGAACGCUGGCGGUAGGCCUAACACAUGCAAGUCGAACGGCAGCACAGGAGAGCUUGCUCUCUGGGUGGCGAGUGGCGGACGGGUGAGGAAUACAUCGGAAUCUACUCUGUCGUGGGGGAUAACGUAGGGAAACUUACGCUAAUACCGCAUACGACCUACGGGUGAAAGCAGGGGACCUUCGGGCCUUGCGCGAUUGAAUGAGCCGAUGUCGGAUUAGCUAGUUGGCGGGGUAAAGGCCCACCAAGGCGACGAUCCGUAGCUGGUCUGUGGGGAUGAUCAGCCACACUGGAACUGAGACACGGUCCAGACUCCUACGGGGGGCAGCAGUGGGGAAUAUUGGACAAUGGGCGCAAGCCUGAUCCAGCCAUACCGCGUGGGUGAAGAAGGCCUUCGGGUUGUAAAGCCCUUUUGUUGGGAAAGAAAUCCAGCUGGCUAAUACCCGGUUGGGAUGACGGUACCCAAAGAAUAAGCACCGGCUAACUUCGUGCCAGCCGCCGCAGUAA
rnacentral:rRNA from 1 species